rnacentral:rRNA from 1 species
GAUGAACGCUGGCGGCGCGCCUAAUACAUGCAAGUCGAGCGAAGACACGAGGAGCUUGCUUUUCUUGCGUUAGUGGCGGACGGGUGAGUAACACGUGGGUAACCUGCCUAGAAGACUGGGACAACUGCGGGAAACGACAGCUAAUACCGGAUAAGAUAACGGAUCUGAUUGUUUAUUAGGGAAAGACGUUUUUUCUGUCAAGUAUAGAUUGGUCCGCGCUUCAUUAGCUAGUUGGUAAGGGAACGGCUUACGAAGGCAACGAUGCGUAGCCGACGUGAGAGGGUGAUCGGCCACACUGGCACUGAGACAGGGUCCAGACUCCUACGGGAGGCAGCAGUAGGGACUCUUACGCGAUGGGCGAAAGCCUGACAGAGCAACGCCGCGUGAGUGCUGAAGGUCUUCGGAUCGUAAAACUCUGUUAUUAGGGAAGAACAAAUGUGUAAGUAACUAUGCACGUCUUGACGGUACCUAAUCAGAAAGCCACGGCUAACUACGUG